AGUCGAACGAGAGAUGAAGAGCUUGCUCUUCAAAUCGAGUGGCGAACGGGUGAGUAACGCGUGAGGAACCUGCCUCAAAGAGGGGGACAACAGUUGGAAACGACUGCUAAUACCGCAUAAGCCCACGGCUCGGCAUCGAGCAGAGGGAAAAGGAGCAAUCCGCUUUGAGAUGGCCUCGCGUCCGAUUAGCUAGUUGGUGAGGUAACGGCCCACCAAGGCGACGAUCGGUAGCCGGACUGAGAGGUUGAACGGCCACAUUGGGACUGAGACACGGCCCAGACUCCUACGGGAGGCAGCAGUGGGGAAUAUUGCACAAUGGGGGAAACCCUGAUGCAGCGACGCCGCGUGGAGGAAGAAGGUCUUCGGAUUGUAAACUCCUGUUGUUGAGGAAGAUAAUGACGGUACUCAACAAGGAAGUGACGGCUAACUACGUGCCAGCAGCCGCGGUAAAACGUAGGUCACAAGCGUUGUCCGGAAUUACUGGGUGUAAAGGGAGCGCAGGCGGGAGAACAAGUUGGAAGUGAGAUCCAUGGGCUCAACCCAUGAACUGCUUUCAAAACUGUUUUUCUUGAGUAGUGCAGAGGUAGGCGGAAUUCCCGGUGUAGCGGUGGAAUGCGUAGAUAUCGGGAGGAACACCAGUGGCGAAGGCGGCCUACUGGGCACCAACUGACGCUGAGGCUCGAAAGUGUGGGUAGCAAACAGGAUUAGAUACCCUGGUAGUCCACACCGUAAACGAUGAUUACUAGGUGUUGGAGGAUUGACCCCUUCAGUGCCGCAGUUAACACAAUAAGUAAUCCACCUGGGGAGUACGACCGCAAGGUUGAAACUCAAAGGAAUUGACGGGGGCCCGCACAAGCAGUGGAGUAUGUGGUUUAAUUCGACGCAACGCGAA
rnacentral:rRNA from 1 species